rnacentral:rRNA from 1 species
UACGUAAGUGGCGAGCGUUAUCCGGAAUACUGGGCGUAAAGCGUGUGUAGGCGGUUUAGUGUGUGGGAAUUGAAAGCCCGGGGCUCAACUCCGGAUCCGGUUCCCCAAACUGCUAGACUCGAGCGUAUCAGAGGACAGUGGAAUUCCCGGUGUAGCGGUAAUAUGCGUAGAUAUCGGGAGGAACACCAGUGGCGAAGGCGACUGUCUGGGGUAUUGCUGACGCUGAGACACGAAAGCCAGGGGAGCGAACGGG